UACGUAGGGUGCGAGCGUUGUCCGGAAUUAUUGGGCGUAAAGGGCUCGUAGGCGGUUUGUCGCGUCGGGAGUGAAAACACCGGGCUUAACUCGGUGCUUGCUUUCGAUACGGGCAGACUAGAGGUAUGCAGGGGGAGAACGGAAUUCCUGGUGUAGCGGUGAAAAUGCGCAGAUAUCAGGAGGAACACCGGUGGCGAAGGCGGUUCUCUGGGCAUUACCUGACGCUGAGGAGCGAAAGUGUGGGGAGCGAACAGG
rnacentral:rRNA from 1 species